ensembl:snRNA U5 U5 spliceosomal RNA
UGACUCUGGUUUCUCUUCAUUACGCACAAGCCUUUCGCCUUUUACUAAAGACUUCCGUGGAGAGGAACACUUACGAGUUCAACAUAUUUCUGGAGGGGUUUUGCUUCUUGCAGAGCC